AUUGAACGCUGGCGGCAUGCCUUACACAUGCAAGUCGAACGGCAGCGCGGACUUCGGUCUGGCGGCGAGUGGCGAACGGGUGAGUAAUGCAUCGGAACGUACCUUUCAGUGGGGGAUAACGUAGCGAAAGUUACGCUAAUACCGCAUAUUCUGUGAGCAGGAAAGCAGGGGAUCGCAAGACCUUGCACUGAUUGAGCGGCCGAUGUCAGAUUAGCUAGUUGGUGAGGUAAAGGCUCACCAAGGCGACGAUCUGUAGCGGGUCUGAGAGGAUGAUCCGCCACACUGGGACUGAGACACGGCCCAGACUCCUACGGGAGGCAGCAGUGGGGAAUUUUGGACAAUGGGGGCAACCCUGAUCCAGCCAUGCCGCGUGAGUGAAGAAGGCCUUCGGGUUGUAAAGCUCUUUCGGCCGGGAAGAAAUCGCAUGGGUUAAUACCCUGUGUGGAUGACGGUACCGGAAUAAGAAGCACCGGCUAACUACGUGCCAGCAGCCGCGGUAACAC
rnacentral:rRNA from 1 species